rnacentral:lncRNA from 1 species
GCUGAGAACAGCUCUGCUUGCAGGAUACUUGAGCCACCUUCCUGUUCACCAGGCUCCUCCAGCCCGGCUGACGAGGCAGCCAGGGGACCCGUGAAGUGGGCAGCCGGCAGGCAGGCGCCUGGCCUGGGCGGACACACGCUGGGGCCUCGCUGGAGACUGGCCGCCCCACCCCAGGCCCUCCCCUCCAGCCUGUUCUCUGUCCCUUUCCAAAGAACCUCAUGGUCGGUGACACACUUUUCUGUCUCCCAGCAAUGUUCCUUUUCCUUUCUAAGCAUUGCGGCCGGGUGUGGAGCCGAGGGGGCCUGGGCGGUGAGUCUCCGGGUCCUGACUUCCAUCCUAUCUCAAGUUCAGGCCACCGCAUCCACAGAUAAUCUCCUUGAAGGUGUUGCGGAGCUCCAGGCUGCGGAAGGCGUAAAUGAGCGGGUCGAUGACCGAGUUGCACAUGAUGAGAACCAGCGAGUCUGUGAACGAGCCCCUCUUGGGGUGGCCAUCUGAUUGUGAAAUCAGAUGUGAAUAAAAUCAUGAAGAGUGACAUUGCCAUCCUACCCCCCCGUGAGAUGUCCCUGCAAGGAGAGGCCAUGGAUGGGGACACCUGGAGGAACAGGAAGCCCACGUUUCAUUAUCCUCGUGAAUGGUCAAGUUUUACACAGGUGAGAGUCUCCCUCCCUCUGUAGAUUUCUCUUUCUCUGUGGCACACUGUAGGAGACCAGAAGUUGUGCUUAUGUAAAUAUAUGUAUUAUAUGACUACAGCAUAAUCACAAUACUUAAAAAAAAUCAACCUACCUAGAAAUUUCUUUGUUGU